rnacentral:tRNA from 1 species
AGCAGUGUGGCUCAGUGGAAAGAGCCCGGGAGUCAGAGGUCAUGGGUUCAAAUCCCAGCUCUGCCA